GGACCAAGGAGUCUAGCAUGUGCGCGAGUCAUUGGGAUAUUGACUAAACCUAAAGGCGCAAUGAAAGUGAAGGUCCGCCUUGCGCGGGCCGAGGGAGGAUGGGCGGUUCCGAGGGACCGCCUCGCACUCCCGGGGCGUCUCGUUCUCAUCGCGAGAAGAGGCGCACCCAGAGCGUACACGCUGGGACCCGAAAGAUGGUGAACUAUGCCUGGUCAGGACGAAGUCAGGGGAAACCCUGAUGGAGGUCCGUAGCGAUUCUGACGUGCAAAUCGAUCGUCGGAACUGGGUAUAGGGGCGAAAGACUAAUCGAACCAUCUAGUAGCUGGUUCCCUCCGAAGUUUCCCUCAGGAUAGCUGGCGCUCGCUUCUCGCGAGUCUCAUUCGGUAAAGCGAAUGAUUAGAGGCAUUGGGGUCGAAACGGCCUCAACCUAUUCUCAAACUUUAAAUGGGUGAGAUCUCCGGCUUGCUUGAACUAUGAAGCCGCGAGAUAUCGGAUCAGAGUGCCAAGUGGGCCACUUUUGGUAAGCAGAACUGGCGCUGUGGGAUGAACCAAACGCCGAGUUAAAGCGCCUAAAUCGACGCUUAUGGGAUACCAUGAAAGGCGUUGGUAACUUAAGACAGCAGGACGGUGGCCAUGGAAGUCGGA
rnacentral:rRNA from 1 species